UAGGGAAUUUUGCGCAAUGGACGAAAGUCUGACGCAGCAACUCCGCGUGAGGGAUGAAGGUCUUCGGAUUGUAAACCUCUGUUGAUUGGGAAGAAAGUGAUAUGGAUUAAUCGCCAUAUUUUUGACGGUACCAAUCGAGGAAGCUCCGGCUAACUACGUGCCAGCAGCCGCGGUAAUACGUAGGGAGCAAGCGUUGUUCGGAAUCACUGGGCGUAAAGGGAGCGCAGGCGGUUCGGUAAGUUAGAAGUGAAAUGUAUGGGCUCAACCCGUAAUCUGCUUUUAAUACUGUCGGACUUGAGUAUGGGAGAGGAAGAUAGAAUUCCAGGUGUAGCGGUGGAAUGCGUAGAUAUCUGGAAGAAUACCAGUAGCGAAGGCGGUCUUCUGGCCCAAUACUGACGCUCAUGCUCGAAAGCAAGGGGAGCAAACAGG
rnacentral:rRNA from 1 species